AAGGGGCAGUAAGGCAUGGGUACCUACCUUGGGGUUCGGGAUAGCCACCAGAGAUGGUGGGUAAUACCGGAUGACCUCGUGAGAGCAAAGGUCCGCCGCCCUGAGAGGGGUCCAUGUGAUAUUAGCUAGUUGGUGAGGUAACGGCUCACCAAGGCGAAGAUGUCUAGCGGGUGUGAGAGCACGACCCGCGCCACUCGCACUGAGACACUGGCGAGACACCUACGGGUGGCUGCAGUCGAGGAUCUUCGGCAAUGGGGGCAACCCUGACCGAGCGAUGCCGCGUGAGCGAUGAAGGCCUUCGGGUUGUAAAGCUCGAAAGUGGGGAGAAACGCCGAAAGGCUUGAUCUAUCCACAGUAAGCUCGGGCUAAGUUCGUGCCAGCAGCCGCGGUAAGACGAACCGAGCGAACGUUGUUCGGAAUCACUGGGCUUAAAGGGCGCGUAGGCGGGCUGUCAAGUUUGGGGUGAAAUCCCGCGGCUCAACCGUGGAACUGCCUCAAAUACUGACGGUCUCGAGGGAGAUAGGGGCAAGCGGAACUGAUGGUGGAGCGGUGAAAUGCGUUGA
rnacentral:rRNA from 1 species